GACGAACGCUGGCGGCGUGCUUAACACAUGCAGGUCGAACGGAAAGGCCCUGCUUUUGUGGGGUGCUCGAGUGGCGAACGGGUGAGUAACACGUGAGUAACCUGCCCCUGACUUUGGGAUAACUUCAGGAAACUGGGGCUAAUACCGGAUAGGAGCUCCUGCUGCAUGGUGGGGGUUGGAAAGUUUCGGCGGUUGGGGAUGGACUCGCGGCUUAUCAGCUUGUUGGUGGGGUAGUGGCUUACCAAGGCUUUGACGGGUAGCCGGCCUGAGAGGGUGACCGGCCACAUUGGGACUGAGAUACGGCCCAGACUCCUACGGGAGGCAGCAGUGGGGAAUAUUGCACAAUGGGCGGAAGCCUGAUGCAGCAACGCCGCGUGCGGGAUGACGGCCUUCGGGUUGUAAACCGCUUUCGCCUGUGACGAAGCGUGAGUGACGGUAAUGGGUAAAGAAGCACCGGCUAACUACGUG
rnacentral:rRNA from 1 species